UAUAAUCUCAUAAAGCUGCCACGUCUUAAGGAUAAACAUCUUGUUUUGUGGGGGCGGGAGGGGUUCUCCCUAUUAAUUCAUGAUCUUCAUUAUUUAUUACUGUUCAAUAUAAAUAUAUAUUUUUACUAAUGAUACUGGAACUCUAUUGAAAGCAAUAUGCCCUUUCUUGGUGAAAUGCAUUUUUGCUCUAUGUGACGUUAUAGCCGUAGUGUCUAUCAUUUCUCGCAUUUGAAACUUUUUUUUUUUUUUUGUUCAUUUUCUUGUGCAAUGGUUUAAGGUAUGUUGCCAGAUGGAGCUCCUGUGUAUUGCAAACCUGCCGUUCACAAUGAUUAAAAUGCUAUUGGGGCUGUAUUCGAAACACUUCAGUUAGGAUACCCUAUUGAAUCUGCAGUUGUUUAUAUUCUCCCAAAUCGCUAAUCCUUUCUGAAAUCAAUGCAAUGAAUGACAAUCUUGAUGGUUUUUGUUCAUGAUUUUAAAGUUAAAACGACUGGGACUCUAUUCUACUGCAAUGUAAUUUCACCACCUGGAUAUUUUAUGUCCAAAGGCACAUUAAGGACAUAUAAUGUAUAUACCAGACUUCAAGCAUUUUAUAGAGCAUUUAUUUGUUCCUUUUUGGUUGUGUUUUGUGGGGUUGUUUUUUUUUUUUUUUUUAAUAUAUCUGGUGACCGCCGCCAUUUUCAAAUGUGUUUACACAAUGGGUUGGUUAAGUUUUUCUUAAUGAAGUAAAAUGAUGCACAAGUACUUUAAUCGUACAGGAGAACUUGUGUGCAAACAGUACUUUUUAAAUAUUUCUGUGAAAUGUUUGACAUAUUGCUAAAUUGUUUAAAUAAACUCUGUAUUUCAUGCUGAU